AACUUUACACAGUGGUAGUACCAUAGCCAAUGAAGCUUAUCCAAGGUGCAAUUAACACUAUUUGAAAACUUUACCCAAUAUGCUGCAGUAUAAUCAGCAGUGAUAAUCUUUGACAAUCUCUAUGGUGA
ensembl:snRNA U4 U4 spliceosomal RNA